GGACGCCGAUCGGGGGUCCCGGUUCGACGCCUAUUUACACUGCUGACUCUUAAUCAGCGGGUCCUUGGUUCGAGCCCAAGUGCGUCCACCA
rnacentral:tRNA from 1 species